rnacentral:rRNA from 1 species
AGCGAACGCUGGCGGCAGGCCUAACACAUGCAAGUCGAGCGGCCGUAGCAAUACGGCAGCGGCAGACGGGAGAGUAACACGUGGGAACGCGCCCUUCGGUUCGGGAUAACUCAGGGAAACUUGGGCUAAUACCGGAUACGCCCUUACGGGGAAAGAUUUAUUGCCGAAGGAACGGCCCGCGUCCGAUUAGCUUGUUGGUGAGGUAACGGCUCACCAAGGCGACGAUCGGUAGCUGGUCUGAGAGGAUGACCAGCCUCACUGGGACUGAGACACGGCCCAGACUCCUACGGGAGGCAGCAGUGGGGAAUAUUGGACAAUGGGCGCAAGCCUGAUCCAGCCAUGCCGCGUGGGUGAUGAAGGCCCUAGGGUUGUAAAGCCCUUUCAGCGGGGAAGGUAAUGACGGUACCCUGGGAAUCAGCCCCGGCUAACUACGUGCCAGCAGCCGCAGUAAAAC